UACGGAAGGCAGCAGUGGGGAAUAUUGCACAAUGGGCGAAAGCCUGAUGCAGCUAUGCCGCGUGUAUGAAGAAGGCCUUAGGGUUGUAAAGUACUUUCAUCGGGGAGGAAAAAACAAAACUAAUAAUUUUAUUUCUUGACGUUACCCGAAAAAGAAGCACCGGCUAACUCCGUGCCAGCAGCCGCGGUAAUACGGAGGGUGCUAGCGUUAAUCAGAAUUACUGGGCGUAAAGAGCACGUAGGUGGUUUUUUUAAAGUCAGAUGUGAAAUCCCUGGGCUUUAACCUAGGAACUGCAUUUUGAAACUGAAAUACUAGAGUAUCGUAGAGGGAGGUAGAAUUCUAGGUGUAGCGGUGAAAUGCGUAGAUAUCUGGAGGAAUACCUGUGGCGAAAGCGGCCUCUAAACGAAUACUGACACUGAGGGUGCGAAAGCGUGGGG
rnacentral:rRNA from 1 species